UACGUAGGGUGCGAGCGUUAAUCGGAAUUACUGGGCGUAAAGCGUGCGCAGGCGGUUUGCUAAGACCGAUGUGAAAUCCCCGGGCUUAACCUGGGAACUGCAUUGGUGACUGGCAGGCUAGAGUAUGGCAGAGGGGGGUAGAAUUCCACGUGUAGCAGUGAAAUGCGUAGAGAUGUGGAGGAAUACCGAUGGCGAAGGCAGCCCCC
rnacentral:rRNA from 1 species